rnacentral:SRP_RNA from 1 species
GCCAGGCACAGUGGCACAUGCCUGUAGUCCCAGCUACUCGGGAGACUGAGACUGGAGGAUCACUAGAGUUCAGGAGUUCUGGGCUGUAGUGCACUAUGCCAGUCGGGUGUCUGCACUAAGUUCGGCAUCAAUAUUGUGAAGUCCCGGGAGCAGGGGACCACCAGGUUGCCUAAGGAGGGGUGAACCAGGCAGGUCGGAAACAGAGCAGGUCAAAACUCCUGUGCUGAUCAGUAGUGGGAUCGCGUCUGUGAAUAGCCACUGCACUCCAGCCUGGGCAACAUAGUGAGACCCCAUCUCU